GGGGGCGAUUGGUUUCGACAAGGUAGUUCUGAGGUGGGCAGCAAGCCGUGGUCUCCUCGCCACGUUAAACAGGGGUACCGUCAAAUUGAAUUGACAACAACUCUUAUCAGGGCUCUUACGCCCUCGCUGCUUAAUUUAUACAAGCGGCCGUCAAACUAAGGAUUGCUUCCGUUUUUAGCGCGACGUCAUUUGAGGAAGAUGCAGCUGUGGAUGUAGUUGGUAUGCCAUAGCUUAAGACCAAACCAGCUGGAACAAACACGCGGGUCACUGGGUGUAGUUUGUUUGAGAUCUAACCAGUAACUGAGCUUGGAGACACCUGCCAGGGAAGUGCUUUGGACCGGAGUUCGAUCCUCCGCGCCUCCACCA
rfam:Atopobium minutum 10063974 genomic scaffold acnkJ-supercont1.2, whole genome shotgun sequence.